UGAGUAACACGUAUCCAACCUGCCGUCUACUCUUGGACAGCCUUCUGAAAGGAAGAUUAAUACAAGAUGGCAUCAUGAGUCCACAUGUUCACAUGAUUAAAGGUAUUCCGGUAGACGAUGGGGAUGCGUUCCAUUAGAUAGUAGGCGGGGUAACGGCCCACCUAGUCAACGAUGGAUAGGGGUUCUGAGAGGAGGGUCCCCCACAUUGGAACUGAGACACGGUCCAA
rnacentral:rRNA from 1 species